UACAGAGGAGCCAAGCGUUGUCCGGAUUGACUGGGCGUAAAGCGCACGCAGGCGGAUGCGCGCGUGGGGUGUGAAAUCUGGCCGCUUAACGGCCAGGCGCCAUCCCAUACGGCGCGUCUGGAGUGAUGCAGAGGUCGGUGGAAUUGCCGGUGUAGUGGUGAAAUGCGUAGAGAUCGGGAAGAACAUCAGUGGCGAAGGCGGCCUGCUGGGCUGUUGCUGACGCUGAGGCGCGACAGCGUGGGGAGCAAACAGG
rnacentral:rRNA from 1 species